GAGUUUGAUCUUGGCUCAGAUUGAACGCUGGCGGCAUGCCUUACACAUGCAAGUCGAACGGCAGCACGGGAGCUUGCUCCUGGUGGCGAGUGGCGAACGGGUGAGUAAUGCAUCGGAACGUAUCCUGGAGUGGGGGAUAACGUAGCGAAAGUUACGCUAAUACCGCAUAUUCUGUGAGCAGGAAAGCGGGGGACCUUCGGGCCUCGCGCUCUUGGAGCGGCCGAUGUCGGAUUAGCUAGUUGGUGAGGUAAAGGCUCACCAAGGCGACGAUCCGUAGCAGGUCUGAGAGGAUGAUCUGCCACACUGGAACUGAGACACGGUCCAGACUCCUACGGGAGGCAGCAGUGGGAAUUUUGGACAAUGGGGGCAACCCUGAUCCAGCCAUGCCGCGUGAGUGAAGAAGGCC
rnacentral:rRNA from 26 species